CACAGGCUUAGAAAAGACAGU
rnacentral:miRNA from 1 species